AUUGAACGCUGGCGGCAGGCCUAACACAUGCAAGUCGAACGAGCGGCGGACGGGUGAGUAAUGUCUGGGGAACUGCCCGAUAGAGGGGGAUAACUACUGGAAACGGUGGCUAAUACCGCAUACUAUCGGAUGUACCCAUAUGGGAUUAGCUAGUAGGUGGGGUAACGGCUCACCUAGGCGACGAUCUCUAGCUGGUCGGAGAGGAUGAUCAGCCACACUGGAACUGAGACACGGUCCAGACUCCUACGGGAGGCAGCAGUGGGGAAUAUUGCACAAUGGGCGCAAGCCUGAUGCAGCCAUGCCGCGUGUAUGAAGAAGGCCUUAGGGUUGUAAAGUACUUUCAGCGAGGAGGCGUUACUCGCAGAAGAAGCACCGGCUAACUCCGUGCCAGCCGCCGCGGUAAUAC
rnacentral:rRNA from 1 species